ACACGACUACAUUAGAUACCCCUGUAGUCCUAGCCGUAAACGAUACUCGCUAGGUGUCGGCCACGGUGCGACCGUUGUCGGUGCCGUAGGGAAGCCGUGAAGCUAGCCACCUGGGAAGUACGGCCGCAAGGCUGAAACUUAAAGGAAUUGGCGGGGGAGCACAACAACGGGUGGAGCUUGCGGUUUAAUUGGAUUCAACGCCGGAAAUCUUACCGGGACCGACAGCAACAUGAAGGCCAAGCUGAAGACUUUGCCGGAUUAGCUG
rnacentral:rRNA from 1 species